CCGUGAGGGAAAGAUGAAAAGGACUUUGGAAAGAGAGUUAAAAAGUACGUGAAACCGUUAAAAGGGAAACGAAUGGAGCUAGCAAUGCACCCAGUGAGAUUCAGCUGGUUGGUGAUUCGGCCGCGAUGUUUGCAGAUCUGAAUUGACUGCGGCAUUGUGGUUCGAACUCCCUGCCAUCGCACUUCUCGCGGGCGCGCGUCAACAUGGGUUGGGACCGGGUCUAAACGGCACCGGCAAGGUAAGUCCGCACCUCCGGGUACGUACUGUUCUAGGCCGGCGCACUCGCGGCCCGGACCCGACCGAGGCGAUGCAGCACAUGCCUCUUGUGGCUGGAGUCCCGUUCUUCCGGUUGGUUGUCGACUGUGGUGGACUGCGUGCAGUGCACCGCGACUGCUGCCGGUCGCUUGGGCGGCGACUUCGCAUGAUGUGCUUAGGAUGUUGGCGGUCAUAUGGCUUCAUCCGACCCGUCUUGAAACACGGACCAAGGAGUCUACCAUAUGCGCGAGUCUUUGGGUGAUUGAAACCCGCGGGCACAAUGAAAGUGAAGGCGGCUCCGGCCUGCCGAGGUGAGAACCUCCCCUCUCGGGGUGGCGCAUCAUCGACCGACCUAUUCUACUCUUAGGAAGGUUUGAGUAAGAGCGCAUUUGUUGGGACCCGAAAGAUGGUGAACUAUGCCUGAAUAGGGUGAAGCCAGAGG
rnacentral:rRNA from 1 species